UACGUAGGGUGCGAGCGUUGUCCGGACUUAUUGGGCGUAAAGGGCUCGUAGGCGGUCUGUUGCGUCAGGAGUGAAAACUCGGGGCUUAACCCCGAGCCUGCUUCUGAUACGGGCAGACUAGAGGUAUGCAGGGGAGAACGGAAUUCCUGGUGUAGCGGUGAAAUGCGCAGAUAUCAGGAGGAACACCCGUGGCGAAGGCGGUUCUCUGGGACGGUACUGACGCUGAGACGCGAAAGCGUGGGGAGCGAACAGG
rnacentral:rRNA from 1 species